rnacentral:rRNA from 1 species
CAGCACCUCAAGUGGUCAGGAUGAUUAUUGGGCCUAAAGCAUCCGUAGCCGGCUCUGUAAGUUUUCGGUUAAAUCUGUAUGCUCAACAUUCAGGCUGCCGGGAAUACUGCAGAGCUAGGGAGUGGGAGAGGUAGACGGUACUCGGUAGGAAGGGGUAAAAUCCUUUGAUCUAUUGAUGACCACCUGUGGCGAAGGCGGUCUACCAGAACACGUCCGACGGUGAGGGAUGAAAGCUGGGGGAGCAAACCGGAUUAGAUACCCGAGUAGUCC